rnacentral:rRNA from 1 species
AGCGAACGCUAGCGGCGGGCCUAACACAUGCAAGUCGAGCGGAGGGAGCAAUCCUUCAGCGGCGGACGGGUGAGUAACGCGUAGGUAAUGUACCUUCUGGUGGGAAUAACCGUGGGAAACCAUGGCUAAUACCGCAUAUCGUCCUUACGGAUGAAAGCCUUCGGGCGCCAGAAGAGCAGCCUGCGUCCCAUUAUUUAGUCCUAGUUGGUGAGGUAACGGCUCACCAAGGGUACGAUGGGUAGCUGGUCUGAGAGGAUGAUCAGCCACACUGGAACUGAGACACGGUCCAGACUCCUACGGGAGGCAGCAGUGGGGAAUAUUGCGCAAUGGGCG